UAUAGAUGUAUGAUUUGAGCCAUAUAACCUAUUUUAUGUAUAUUUACAGUAAAUAAAGAAACAUGUAAAAUUAUUAUCUGCCUCUCUUUGAUAAUAAUAAUAAUGUAAGAAACAAAUCUCUACCGGUUGUGCGAAGCAAUAGCCUUUUUCAAACCUUUCGGCUUAUCAUACUCUUUUUGCAACAUAUGCGCCUGUAGGUUCUAUACAGAAUAGAACCUACAAGCGCAAUCCGAUAAUUCAAGUCAUAUGUAAAGUAUUUAAUUCAAUCUCUGGAGGCAUGGCCCUAUGGAUUCUGCAACAUUACAUUUUGAAAUAUUUAUUAACAUGGCAUACAUUUUUAUAUUUUUGGCUUUACUUAUCUAUAAUUUGUAAUUAUAUUCUGAUCUAUUAAACUAGUGAAAACGGUCAAAUUUACACAGCAGGAUAACCUUAAUCUAAAAAGAUGAGUGAAGCGGUUGGGAAUUCGUUCUUUAUGACCUUCGCCUUGUGGUACGCUUUCAUCGGCUAUAAAUAUUAUAAUGGCGACUUCCCAUGCAGCACUGAAGAUAAUAAAGACACCGCAGACACUACCUCCUCACCUCCUCCAAAUACAUCUAACAAACCACUUCUGGCGGUAGAAGUGAAAGCGGCCCCUGAACCUUCUAAGCCAGAAGUUAAACAAGUCAAGUCAGAAGUUAAGCCGACCGCAGAGAUAGAAGUAAAGUUAGAAGAGCAAAGCGCUAAGAUUGAAAUUACGGCUCAACCGACUCUGAAUCUUGAUGAAUUUGAGUAGAUUGACUAAUUACUUAUCUUGAUCAUUAAAUUUUACAUUUGUUGGUAUAAUAAAUACUUUUGCGAUUUUUAUGAUA